rnacentral:rRNA from 1 species
UACGGAGGGAGCUAGCGUUGUUCGGAAUUACUGGGCGUAAAGCGCACGUAGGCGGCUUUUUAAGUCAGGGGUGAAAUCCCGGGGCUCAACCCCGGAACUGCCUUUGAUACUGGCUGUCUUGAGUAUGGGAGAGGUAAGCGGAAUUCCGAGUGUAGAGGUGAAAUUCGUAGAUAUUCGGAAGAACACCAGUGGCGAAGGCGGCUUACUGGCCCAUUACUGACGCUGAGGCGCGAAAGCGUGGGGAGCAAACAGG